rnacentral:rRNA from 1 species
UUAAGCGACUAAGCGUACACGGUGGAUGCCCUGGCAGUCAGAGGCGAUGAAGGACGUGCUAAUCUGCGAAAAGCGUCGGUAAGGUGAUAUGAACCGUUAUAACCGGCGAUGUCCGAAUGGGGAAACCCAGUGCAAUUCGUUGCACUAUCGUUAACUGAAUACAUAGGUUAACGAGGCGAACCGGGGGAACUGAAACAUCUAAGUACCCCGAGGAAAAGAAAUCAACCGAGAUUCCCCCAGUAGCGGCGAGCGAACGGGGAGCAGCCCAGAGUCUGAAUCAGCUUGUGUGUUAGUGGAACGGUCUGGAAAGUCCGACGGUACAGGGUGAUAGUCCCGUACACCAAAAUGCACAGGNUGUGAACUCGAAGAGUAGGGCGGGACACGUGGUAUCCUGUCUGAAUAUGGGGGGACCAUCCUCCAAGGCUAAAUACUCCUGACUGACCGAUAGUGAACCAGUACCGUGAGGGAAAGGCGAAAAGAACCCCGGCGAGGGGAGUGAAAAAGAACCUGAAACCGUGUACGUACAAGCAGUGGGAGCACCUUCGGGUGUGACUGCGUACCUUUUGUAUAAUGGGUCAGCGACUUAUAUUCUGUAGCAAGGUUAACCGUAUAGGGGAGCCGCAGGGAAACCGAGUCUUAACUGGGCGUUAAGUUGCAGGGUAUAGACCCGAAACCCGGUGAUCUAGCCAUGGGCAGGUUGAAGGUUGGGUAACACUAACUGGAGGACCGAACCGACUAAUGUUGAAAAAUUAGCGGAUGACUUGUGGCUGGGGGUGAAAGGCCAAUCAAACCGGGAGAUAGCUGGUUCUCCCCGAAAGCUAUUUAGGUAGCGCCUCGUGAACUCAUCUUCGGGGGUAGAGCACUGUUUCGGCUAGGGGGUCAUCCCGACUUACCAACCCGAUGCAAACUACGAAUACCGAAGAAUGUUAUCACGGGAGACACACGGCGGGUGCUAACGUCCGUCGUGAAGAGGGAAACAACCCAGACCGCCAGCUAAGGUCCCAAAGUCAUGGUUAAGUGGGAAACGAUGUGGGAAGGCACAGACAGCCAGGAUGUUGGCUUAGAAGCAGCCAUCAUUUAAAGAAAGCGUAAUAGCUCACUGGUCGAGUCGGCCUGCGCGGAAGAUGUAACGGGGCUAAACCAUGCACCGAAGCUGCGGCAGCGACACUAUGUGUUGUUGGGUAGGGGAGCGUUCUGUAAGCCUGCGAAGGUGUGCUGUGAGGCAUGCUGGAGGUAUCAGAAGUGCGAAUGCUGACAUAAGUAACGAUAAAGCGGGUGAAAAGCCCGCUCGCCGGAAGACCAAGGGUUCCUGUCCAACGUUAAUCGGGGCAGGGUGAGUCGACCCCUAAGGCGAGGCCGAAAGGCGUAGUCGAUGGGAAACAGGUUAAUAUUCCUGUACUUGGUGUUACUGCGAAGGGGGGACGGAGAAGGCUAUGUUAGCCGGGCGACGGUUGUCCCGGUUUAAGCAUGUAGGCUGAUUGUCCAGGCAAAUCCGGAUAAUCAAGGCUGAGGUGUGAUGACGAGGCACUACGGUGCUGAAGUAACAAAUGCCCUGCUUCCAGGAAAAGCCUCUAAGCAUCAGGUAACAUCAAAUCGUACCCCAAACCGACACAGGUGGUCAGGUAGAGAAUACCAAGGCGCUUGAGAGAACUCGGGUGAAGGAACUAGGCAAAAUGGUGCCGUAACUUCGGGAGAAGGCACGCUGGUGUGUAGGUGAAGUCCCUGCGGAUGGAGCUGAGACCAGUCGAAGAUACCAGCUGGCUGCAACUGUUUAUUAAAAACACAGCACUGUGCAAACACGAAAGUGGACGUAUACGGUGUGACGCCUGCCCGGUGCCGGAAGGUUAAUUGAUGGGGUUAUCCGUAAGGAGAAGCUCUUGAUCGAAGCCCCGGUAAACGGCGGCCGUAACUAUAACGGUCCUAAGGUAGCGAAAUUCCUUGUCGGGUAAGUUCCGACCUGCACGAAUGGCGUAAUGAUGGCCAGGCUGUCUCCACCCGAGACUCAGUGAAAUUGAACUCGCUGUGAAGAUGCAGUGUACCCGCGGCAAGACGGAAAGACCCCGUGAACCUUUACUAUAGCUUGACACUGAACAUUGAGCCUUGAUGUGUAGGAUAGGUGGGAGGCUUUGAAGCGUGGACGCCAGUCUGCGUGGAGCCAACCUUGAAAUACCACCCUUUAAUGUUUGAUGUUCUAACGUUGGCCCCUGACCGGGGUUGCGGACAGUGUCUGGUGGGUAGUUUGACUGGGGCGGUCUCCUCCCAAAGCGUAACGGAGGAGCACGAAGGUUAGCUAAUCCUGGUCGGACAUCAGGAGGUUAGUGCAAUGGCAUAAGCUAGCUUGACUGCGAGCGUGACGGCGCGAGCAGGUGCGAAAGCAGGUCAUAGUGAUCCGGUGGUUCUGAAUGGAAGGGCCAUCGCUCAACGGAUAAAAGGUACUCCGGGGAUAACAGGCUGAUACCGCCCAAGAGUUCAUAUCGACGGCGGUGUUUGGCACCUCGAUGUCGGCUCAUCACAUCCUGGGGCUGAAGUAGGUCCCAAGGGUAUGGCUGUUCGCCAUUUAAAGUGGUACGCGAGCUGGGUUUAGAACGUCGUGAGACAGUUCGGUCCCUAUCUGCCGUGGGCGCUGGAGAAUUGAGGGGGGCUGCUCCUAGUACGAGAGGACCGGAGUGGACGCAUCACUGGUGUUCGGGUUGUCAUGCCAAUGGCACUGCCCGGUAGCUAAAUGCGGAAGAGAUAAGUGCUGAAAGCAUCUAAGCACGAAACUUGCCCCGAGAUGAGUUCUCCCUGAGACUNNNNNNNNNNNNNNNNNNNNNNNNNNNNNNGACGUUGAUAGGCCGGGUGUGUAAGCGCAGCGAUGCGUUGAGCUAACCGGUACUAAUGAACCGUGAGGCUUAACCUU